UGAGACUGCCGGUGACAAACCGGAGGAAGGUGGGGAUGACGUCAAGUCCUCAUGGCCCUUAUAGGUGGGGCUACACACGUCAUACAAUGGCUGGUACAGAGGGUUGCCAACCCGCGAGGGGGAGCCAAUCCCAUAAAGCCAGUCGUAGUCCGGAUCGCAGUCUGCAACUCGACUGCGUGAAGUCGGAAUCGCUAGUAAUCGCGGAUCAGAAUGUCGCGGUGAAUACGUUCCCGGGUCUUGUACACACCGCCCGUCACACCAUGGGAGCGGGUUCUGCCAGAAGUAGGUAGCCUAACCGUAAGGAGGGCGCUUACCACGGCAGGGUUCGUGACUGGGGUG
rnacentral:rRNA from 1 species